GGACAAUCACCGCUGUGCAUGAGUUAUAAGGGGAAUUUUCCUCAUUUUUCCAUGCUCACACCUUGAAGAGUUUGUUUUACACUAGCGCAUCUGUUUGCCCAGAUGUACAACACAUGCAAAUCUGGAUUCUUUUUAAUUAUUCAUCUAUGUGCCCUUCCAGCUCUUUUGACUCGGGCCAGUAACCUCACAGAGACAUUUGAGAACACAGCAUAGCAACAGAACACACCCGUAACACCCCAGAAUUGUGAGUUGCUGAAAGCAAACUAAAACGUCAGUAACAAACAAGGACCAGCCCGUGUCACAUUCACAAAAAAAUUGGUAACAUCAUCUCAGAUUAAAUCAACAUUGGAGACCUGCCUGCCCACUGCCACCACAGCCAGUACUACUGGACCAGACCAACCACUGGCCACAUCGUGUCUCAAAAAGGCAGGUGCAAGUGGCUGUAAGUGUAUUGUUAGGGUGAAGUGCACCAAAUGUGAUGUGUACCUGUGCCUCACCUCUGAAAAAAACUGCUUUGUGAAGUUUCAUACAGAAAAAAGGUAAAGUUUCAAGGAUUAUGGGGGUUCAUGUUCAUAAUCUUCCUCCCAUAAGAUUGCGUAAUGUUGAAUUUUCAUGAACUGCAAUGUUUUUGUUUCAUGUAAAUGUUUUAUGAUACAUGAUGAACAGUAUUAUAUUUGUUUUUAACUGUAUACAUUUGCAAUUCAUGAAAAAUGUAAUGAAAUUCAAAGAAUAUAAAGCAUUAUUCAGCAAAAAAGAAUGGAAUAAAUAAAAACACAAGAUGUUGGAAAGUAUGUAUAAGGUGUCGUUUACAAUUACUGUUAAAGCUUAUGAUAGCACCAAUUGAUUCAAUACAAACAACAUUUCUGAGGAAAAAUAUUAACUACUGUAUAUACACUUACACUUAUUCUAAGUUAUUUCCACUAUUGUAUGUUGUUGCCGUAUGGCAACAUAUCAUAAAGUACCUUAAAAUAAUAUUUUUUUCCAAAUUUUUUUUUUUUUUUUUUACAGCACUUCAAGUUAAGCCAUUCUAGGAAAAGAAAAAGAGUCAAAUAUUUUUUUCUAUAGGUCUAUCAUAAUGCGUGCCGUAAAGGGUUAAAAAUAUUUUUGCUCUACUCAGCUUUAUAAUGGUAGUGAAUGGGGGGCCCGAUUUUAAAGCCUAAAGUAAAUGCAUCCAUCCAUCAUAAAUAUAAUCCGUACGGCUCCAGGUGGUUAAUAAAGGCCUUCUGAAGUGAAGCGAUGGGUUUUUGUAAGAAAAAUAUCUAUAUUUAAAACUUUAUAAAGUAAAAUAACUAGUUCCUGCCAGACUUAAACUAUCCCUUUAAGGCAGGAUUUCCUUUCUUUUAGCAGUUAUGUUGAGAAUUGUGAUUUCUUCCUUUCAUUUUUCAACAAAUGGCAUGUCACGUCCUCAUCUCUGAUAUAGCCCAAGUUUUAGCUCUAACUCAUUCAAACACACGAUCUGAUUAUUAGAGUUAAUUUAGUGUAACCUGUUUAAAGCAU